UGGGGAAUAUUGCACAAUGGGCGCAAGCCUGAUGCAGCCAUGCCGCGUGUGUGAAGAAGGCCUUCGGGUUGUAAAGCACUUUCAGCAGUGAGGAAAGGGUGUGUUUUAAUAGAGCAUAUCUGUGACGUUAACUGCAGAAGAAGCACCGGCUAACUCCGUGCCAGCAGCCGCGGUAAUACGGAGGGUGCGAGCGUUAAUCGGAAUUACUGGGCGUAAAGCGUACGCAGGCGGUUGAUUAAGCUAGAUGUGAAAGCCCCGGGCUCAACCUGGGAACAGCAUUUAGAACUGGUCGACUAGAGUAUGAUAGAGGGUGGUAGAAUUUCAGGUGUAGCGGUGAAAUGCGUAGAUAUCUGAAGGAAUACCGAUGGCGAAGGCAGCCACCUGGGUCAAUACUGACGCUCAUGUACGAAAGCGUGGGGAGCAAACGGG
rnacentral:rRNA from 1 species